rnacentral:misc_RNA from 1 species
GCCGGGUUAAUUAAUAUCUGUAGUUCUCGGUAGAGGAACAAGAGGGCGCUUGUUUCUUCUUGGCUGUAUCCCUAUGCUAGAACAGUAGAUGGAGCCAUUUACAUGUGAUGCACAUUCUGCUUUGGGAAAUUACCCUUUUUGUGAGAUGAAAAAUCGAUAUGUUACGGAUUUCUAAGUAAAAAAUAAACCAGACUUGAACAAUCUCUCUCGUAGAAUGAGUAGAGAGAAAUAUCUUUACUAUAUCUUCAAUUUGAAGUAUAUUUGGCGAUCUGAUGUCGCUGCUGUCGCAUUGGUAUAAACAAGGCGGAGAAUAUAAAAUAACACUUCAGCAAAUAUCCGGAAAACGGAAGAAAACCAAUAGAUUCUUUAAGUUUGUGCUCUCUUUUCAACUAUUCAACCAUUCUUCUAAUAUACCAGAUUGUAUUUGAUUAAAACACGUUAUACGAAAAAGAGGCUAUCUUUUGUCUAACAGACUCACAAAUACGAGACUAGAGUAUAAAGGAUAAAUAACAAUUCCUUAAAGUUGACUUUGUUUAUUUGGUCUUCAAUUGUGAAUAAAAGCCGUAUUCUCUUUUAUAAUUAGAUGAAAAGGUGUAGGACUGCAGGCCUAAGAGAAAACAUAUUUCUCUUGUUUGUUUAUGUCUUCAUUUUUCCGAUUGUUCAAUAAGUUUCAACAAGAUGUUGUUUUUUAAUAUUUACAUUAGAAGAGAAAUGAUUUGUGAAAUACUUUCUGAUACAUCGGUUCAUAGAGAACACUUUUUAUAUUAUAAAAAAUAGACGUAUUGCUUAACAGAAACUCAUUGUAGUAUUUGCGAGUCGGUGAAGGCGUUCGAGUGUUUAGUAACAGAUGUUUGUUUAUUAAAAAAUUACUAAAUUUAUGGAACAUAUUCUUAUUUUUUCAGAAAGAAGCUGCUCUUACAUGAACGAAAAUGUUUGUAACAAAACGCGCAAGUCAGACGAGUCGUAAAAAGACAAUCUUUCUAAUUUGUUUAGUAUUAUCCUUAUGCUCCAUUAUAUUGUUAAUGGCCGAUCGGUUACUUUCUAUAAAUUUUCCUUCUGCAUCUUUUAUAUCCAUAUAUACAAGCGAAUUGAAUAGGAAAAGUAUGACAACAGAAUUACAACUGAACACCUCUGGUUGUAUUAUUACUUAUGUACCCAUUUGGAGUUAUGAAGCUCAAUAUUUCUUUAAAAAAAAACCUCCAGUAAACUGUUUAAAAGGAAAUUUAAUUAAUAAUUGUACAUUCCUUAAUGAUGGAUUCUUAACAAUAAGCGAUUUAGGGAUUAAAAAAUUAACUUCAGAGAAGGCGAAAUGUUAUUAUAGGUCUAUCAAACGCCAAACUGGUUCUGAGAAUAGUCCUAUUAUUGGUGAAUGGAAAAAAUUUAAUUAUAAGCAAAGAAAACAAAUUGAUUAUGAAUUUAUUCAAGUAAAAUGCGAAGGAGCUAAAAAGCUUUUAUACGAAAACUUCCAUACUCAAGCUUUGGUUAAAGAACCUCUUAUCAAACAGAGCGUAAACAAUCAACCUCACAUUCUGCUUAUAUCCAUUGAUUCUAUAUCGUCGAAUUCCUUAAAGAGGAACAUGCCAGAUGUUGUCGAUCUUAUUACUAAAAAUAUGUCUGCUUUCGAAAUGAAAGGUCAACUUAAAAUUGAUGGUCCAACAUUGCGCAAUUUCCUUGGGCUGUUGACUGGUUUUCCUUAUGAGCAAGUAAAAAACUUCAAGACAAAUAGCUACUUAGAUAAGAUUAAUUUUAUCUGGAAAGAUUUCGGUGAGAAAGGCUAUUUAAGAUUUAUUGGAGAGGAUAGACCAGAAAUUGGUACUUACAAUUAUAUGGUUAAAGGCUUUGAUCAACAACCUCUUGAAUACUGGUCUAAGCCAUUUGAAUUGGUUGCUGAGAAUGGUAGAUUAAGAAAAAAAGCUGUACCCGAUACAUGUUAUGGUGAAACUUCAAGUAUUAAAGCUAUUCAUAAUUAUCUUUUUGAUAUUAUUCGAGUGAAUAAUGGUUCACCUAUAUGGGCUCAUAUCCAUCAAAGCCAUCAUGUUCACGCCGAUUUUAAUGGGCUUUCAUCUGUAUCGAAUGAUUACUAUCAAUUUUUUAAGACGAUUAUUGACAAGGGCCUACAUGAAACUUCUUUUGUAUUCUUCUUCUCUGAUCAUGGUAUUAGAUAUGGUGAAUUUCGUCAGACAUAUGUUGGACGUUUAGAGCAGCAUAUGCCUUUUAUGUACGUUAUUCCACCGAAAAACUUUGAAAAACACUACCCAGAGUACUAUGAGGCAUUGAAUAUCAAUACUAAACGUUUAACAACGUUAUACGAUCUGUACCAGACAAUGUUCCAUAUUCUUCAUUUAAACAAUAUGACUUAUAGGAACGACAGUCAAAUACCGAAAAGAGAAGGCAACGGACAAUCACUUUUUACUGAAAUAUCAGAAGAGAGAAGUUGCAAAACUGCACCCUUGAAGCCUGUUGAAUGUUUAUGUAUGACAAAUGUUAUCAUACCGAAAAAUACUACAUUGGCGAAAACAGGGGCAAACCUAAUUGUUCAAUCGAUGAAUAAAAGAUUAAAGACUUUUAACGUAACUAAGAAAUGCUCGAAAUUAAAGCUCAAAUCAAUAUUAAAAGCUGUUCAACUUUCUACAAAAGAAACUAAAGUUACUAAAAUACUACUAACUGUUCUUGUUGCGCCAUCUGAUGGUAUUUUUGAGGUGCUAAUUAGCUAUACGCAAGAUACGAAAUUAUAUACUAUCAUAAGUGACUUUAGUCGCAUUAAUUCUUACGGAAAUCAAUCACACUGCGUUGACGAUAGAGAAAUAAAAAAUAUAUGUUAUUGCCAACUUUAAGAUGUCUCUUUGUAUCUUUGUUAGUGAUUAGCAUUGAUCUAUAACUAUCGUUUUUGUUUUGAUUGUAUUUAGAGAAGAAAAUAAAAAUAAUACAAUUUAUAAAUAAAGGAAAUUAUCCAGCUAUUCAAUCGCUACUUGAACAGAACGAUAGGAGAAUUUUCAACUUGAUCUUCGAGAGCGCAAAUUUUAAGAGAGAGAGAGAGAGAGAGAGAGAGAGAGAGAGAUGCAGAAGAUAGGAGGAAUGUGAUGAUAUCAUUAAACAAAUUAUAAUUAGAUGCUUUGAAAUAUUUUAUUGUUUUUUUUGAAUUUUUGUCUCUUAGCAAUGAUAAUUGAUUAAAUUAAGAAGAAAGAGAAAAGUAAAGAAAGAGUCUAUAAUGAAAUAAGAAGACAAAUUUUAUUCUCUCUUUCAUCUAUUUUAUACUUCCUUCUCUUUCUUUUCUUUUUAAAUUUUAUAGACAUAUUCACAAUAGAUAUAUAACCUUGCAUUUAUCAGCCAUUUUGUUAUAUAUAUAUAUAUAUAUAU